GGCCACCGUAGGUUCUGCUACACGCUUUUGGGAGGGGGCAGGUAUUGAAAUGGUUGCAAUCUGCAACGUCACCGCUAGAUGCCACUAAAUCCUACACACUUGUCCUUGGAAAAAAGGAAAAAUCAGCAACCUCUAAUUACGUACAAAGACUAUGCACAGAAUAAGGCUAGGCUCAGGGUAAUUUGGUACUAGUUUGUAGCCUGGUUUGCAGCCUAGUUUGCGGGCCAGCGGGUUUUUUAGCCAUGGCCUUCAACUCACCUCUCAGUCCACGACUCCACAUCACACUGUUCAAAGGCGUCUGUAUUUUAAACCGACCAGUUAUGAACAGAGAGAAGACAUUUCUAACAAGAGGAGAGCCAGCGUUGAUGUGUUAACCACAGAAACGGACAAAAAAUGGCCCAGACUUAAUAGUGUCACGGAAUUUGAUGUUAGAAAAUGGCGACCCUAAACUUAGCUAACGUUACCGUCCAACGGCUAACGAAGAUAGUAACUGUUAGUGACUGAAGAUCAGAAGAGAGAAUACUGAGUAGCCUCAGAGAGAAACAUAUUUGGACAAGCUACACAUAGGUGGGAUUUAUGCUUUAUUGGAGUAAGUUAUGUUCAAAGCAUAAGUUUCACUUUUCUAAGAGAAUAUGUUUCAGAUGGAUGCAGGAUAAUCUCAUUGAUUUUAGAGACCAGAGCAGGACAGUGAGGAUGAAUCCCUGAGCCUCAGUGCUUCUUACUGGCUGAGGAAAACUGUAUGCAGGCUGGCUGAUGAGAAGCAAGUAGAAAGUCCAGCUUCUGCAGAAGUUAGCCACGAUGAUGGCGUACACAGGCAUGGAUGUAAAGAAGGCCCUCCAUGUGAUGGUGGGGUGGGCUGCUGGACUUUCAUAAGACACCAGGAUCCAAAAGCAGUACCACAUCACUCCAAAAGUUCCUGGUGAACAGGCAGAGAAAAGAAAAAACAAUAUGGUGUGGCUGUUGACCAUGCUGACGAUGGCCACGCCAAGGUUACAUCGGAUGCCGAAGGAGAUGCAGAAGCCAAUGC